GAGUUUGAUCUUGGCUCAGAUUGAACGCUGGCGGCAUGCUUUACACAUGCAAGUCGAACGGCAGCGCGGGGCAACCUGGCGGCGAGUGGCGAACGGGUGAGUAAUAUAUCGGAACGUACCCAAGAGUGGGGGAUAACGUAGCGAAAGUUACGCUAAUACCGCAUACGAUCUAAGGAUGAAAGUGGGGGAUCGCAAGACCUCAUGCUCCUGGAGCGGCCGAUAUCUGAUUAGCUAGUUGGUGAGGUAAAGGCUCACCAAGGCGACGAUCAGUAGCUGGUCUGAGAGGACGACCAGCCACACUGGAACUGAGACACGGUCCAGACUCCUACGGGAGGCAGCAGUGGGGAAUUUUGGACAAUGGGCGCAAGCCUGAUCCAGCAAUGCCGCGUGAGUGAAGAAGGCCUCGGUUGUAAGUAC
rnacentral:rRNA from 1 species